CAGGGAGACAACAACUGAUCGUGAUGUCUGAGUUAUUGAUACUUAGGCCAUGAUCCUGUCACCUUAGGUCGAUCGGUACCUCAAGUUGAGAAUCAAAGAAAAGCUGAUUAAUCAGCUUGGAGAUUGAUGAUUGAUUUUAGUUCCUAAACUUGUCUAGGUCACACCCCGCAAGGGUUACUCCUGGGCCAUUAGCUCAGGUGGUUAGAGCGCACCCCUGAUAAGGGUGAGGUCCCUGGUUCAAGUCCAGGAUGGCCCAUUCGGUGUUGGGGGUUUAGCUCAGUUGGUAGAGCGCCUGCUUUGCAAGCAGGAUGUCAGCGGUUCGAGUCCGCUAACCUCCACUGACGAAUCUUCUGACAACGAGUCAAUGGUGAGAACCGUUGUGUGAUGUGAUUUAGAAUUUAAGUUUGCUGGAAGACCCUAGCUUCUUAUCAUUCCAGGCCUCAAUUAAUUGAGGUUAGGUUGAUAGGACGCUGGGCUCACUGUAAUUCGCAAGAAUUGCAGAGAUGUUCAGUAGAACCUUGACAACUGCAUAGGUAAGUCUGGAAAGAAUAAAGCAUCUCAUAGAUGCAUGAUUCUUGGGAGUCAGCUAAUGCAAUCUGCGCCAGUAGAGAGCUGAGUUGAUGAAUGAGAAUGAUGUUUGAUUCUUUGAGUCAAG
rnacentral:tRNA from 1 species